GGCUUCGGUCCGGUCGCCGGGGCGCUCUGUGCCCUCGGGUCCGCGCCCGCCGAUGCGCCUCAUGAACCCUGAUGAAUAUGGGCUGUCUGAGUUAUAAAUGAAAAUUGUCAAAACUUUCAACAAUGGAUCUCUUGGUUCCGGCAUCGAUGAAGAACGCAGCGAAAUGCGAUAAGUAAUGUGAAUUGCAGAAUUCCGUGAAUCAUCGAAUCUUUGAACGCACAUUGCGCCCCCUGGCAUUCCGGGGGGCAUGCCUGUCCGAGCGUCAUUUCUGCCCUCAAGCACGGCUUGUGUGUUGGGUGUGGUCCCCUCCCUGGCGGGGGGACCUGCCCGAAAGGCAGCGGCGACGUCGCGUCCGGUCCUCGAGCGUAUGGGGCUUUGUCACUCGCUCGGGAAGGACCUGCGCACGUCUGUCACAACUGUAUUUUUUACCACGGUUGACCUCGGAUCAGGUAGGAGUUACCCGCUGAAC
rnacentral:rRNA from 1 species